rnacentral:rRNA from 1 species
UUUUCCUACGGGGGGCAGCAGUGGGGAAUAUUGCACAAUGGGCGAAAGCCUGAUGCAGCAACGCCGCGUGAAGGAAGAAGGGUUUCGGCUCGUAAACUUCUAUCAACAGGGACGAAAGAAAUGACGGUACCUGAAUAAGAAGCCCCGGCUAACUACGUGCCAGCAGCCGCGGUAAUACGUAGGGGGCAAGCGUUAUCCGGAUUUAUUGGGUUUAAAGGGUGCGUAGGCGGUCGGAUAAGUUAGAGGUGAAAUCCCGAGGCUCAACUUCGGAAUUGCCUCUGAUACUGUUCGGCUAGAGAGUAGUU